CUCUUUUUUAAAAUGUCAUAUAAUUUUGAAUAUUACUUUAACAACGCUUUACAUUAUAUUAGUUGCAUAAAUACGACAAAUCUAAUGAAAGAUGAUUUUUUUUUAUUGUUUACCUCAAUGUUUGGUUUUUCUCCCUCGUAUGAAGAAGUUGAGACAGUUUUUAAGGAUGUCGAAGUUAGAGACCUGAUAUCUAUUAGGAAUUAUUUAAGGACAAGAUAUUUAUCUUUUAAAAAUAUCGACUUACAUAUUUUAGAGAUGUAUAAAUUAUUAGAUAUAGAAAAUAAAGGAUAUAUUUCCAGUCAAGAUUUCAUUAAUCUCUCUAACAAGGGCCAGGCCAGAAUGCGCAAGGAUUUUUUUAAUCACUUAGCACACGCUACCGGAGGAUACAACGUAGUUGAUUAUUUCACGUUUAAGUCCUUUUAUUUAAGCUCUUCAUUAGAUUAUAUGGGUUGAUCAAUAAAUGUUUUGUAGGUCAAAUCUUUUGAUAAAGCUAGAUCUGUUGAAAAUAGAUUUUUUCCUAGCUUUAAAAAUUACGUUAGUUUCAUGAUAAAGUAUAAAUAAAGAAUUUAUUUUUAGUUAAAAACAUUCACAAAAUUGUUUUAGCAUUUAAUUUCAAUAUAUAAGUUAUAUAAUC